CCUACGGGUGGCAGCAGUGGGGAAUAUUGCACAAUGGGGGAAACCCUGAAGCAGCGACGCCGCGUGAAGGAAGAAGGAUUUCGGUAUGUAAACUUUCAUUAGCAGGGAAGAAAAUGACGGUACCUGACCAAGAAGCCCCGGCUAACUACGUGCCAGCAGCCACGGGAAGACGUAGGGGGCAAGCGUUAUCCGGAUGUACUGGGGGUAAAGGGAGCGUAGGCGGCGAUGCAAGUCAGAAGUGAAAGCCCGGGGUUCAACUCCGGGACUGCUUUUGAAACUGAAUGGCUAGAUUGCAGGAGAGGCAAGUGGAAUUCCUAGUGUAGCGGUGAAAUGCGUAGAUAUUAGGAGGAACACCAGUUGCGAAGGCGGCUUGCUGGACUGUAAAUGACGCUGAGGCUCGAAAGCGUGGGGAGCAAACAGGAUUAGAUACCCGAGUAGUC
rnacentral:rRNA from 1 species